UCACUCAGGGGUCACUCAGGGUCACUCAAUGGCCACUAAAGGGUCACUCAGGGUCACUCAGGGUCACUCAGGGGUCACUCAAGGGUCACUCAGGGUCACUCAGUGUCAGGGGACACUCGGGUCACUCAGGGUCACUCAGGGGUCAUUUAGGGGUCACCCAGGGUCACUCAAGGAUCACUCAGGGUCACUCAGGGGUCACUCAGGAUCAGAUUGGGGGUCCUGCGUUUGGUUUUUUUGGGGAUUUUUGGGGAAAUUUUUGGAAUUUUGGGGGAAUUUUUUGGAAUUUUUUGGGUUUGUUUUUUUUUUUAGUUUUAAAUGGAAUUUUAUGGGAAUUGUUUUUUAUUUUUGGGGGAUUUUAAAUGGGAUUUUUUGGGGAUUUUUUUUGAGAUUUGGGGGGGGUUGGGGCUUUGUUUUGGGGUUUUAUGGGAUUAUUAAAUGGAAUUUUGGUGGGAUUUUAAAGUGAUUUUUGAGGGAUUUUGGGGAGAUUUUAAAAGGAUUUUCCUGGGAUUUUUGUGGAAUUUUUUUGGCUAUUUUAUGGGAUUUUUCAGUGGGAUUUUUAAUGGGAUUUUGGGGGAAUUUUUAUAAGAUUUUUUUUUUUUUUUAAAUUUUUGGGGGAUUUUUAAAGGAUUUUUUGGGGAUUUUUGGUGUUAUUUCAUGGGAUAUUUCAAUGGGAAUUUUAUUGGGAUUUCGGGGGGAUUUUUAGAAGAGUUUUGUGGAAUUUUCUGGAGGGUUUUUCAGGAUUUUUAGGAGAUUUGGGGGGAGAUUUUUUGGGAAUUUUUGUGGGACAUCUACAAGGAUUUUGGGGGAAUUUUAAUGGGAUUUUAAUGGGAUUUUUGCACUUUUAUGGGAAUUUGGUGGGACUUUUGAGGGAUUUGGGGGGGAUUUUUUAAGGAUUUUUGGGAGCAUUUUGGGGGAUUUUUUUGUGGAAUUUGGGGGGGAUUUUUGGGAAUUUUUAAUCUGGUUUUUAUGGGAUUUUAAUGGGAUUUUUAAUGAGAUUUUGGAAGGAUUUUUAAAGAUUUUCAGUAAAAUUUGGGAGGAAUUUUUCUGGGAUUUUUGUGAAAACUCAGGGAGAUUUUGGGGGAUUUUGGUGAGACUUCUAUAAGGAUAUGGGGGGAUUUUAAUGGGAUUUCUACACUUUUAUGGGAUUUUAUGAGGAUUUUAAAUUAUUUUAUGGGAUUUUAAUGAAAUUUUUAUGGGAUUUUUAUGGGAUUUUUGGGGGAUUCUUUGGGGAUUUUUUGGGAAUUCUUUGGGAUUUGGGGGUUUUGAGUCCCUGACACUGUUUCUGGGGCUGUUUGGGCUUUUGUGGAAUUUUCUUGUCGUUCUUUUGAGGGUUUUUAAUGGGAUUUUUUUGGUGAUUUUGGCGUUUUUAAUUGGAUUUUAAUGGGGUAUUACAGAUGUUUUUUGGGAUUUUUUUGUGACUUGGGGUUUUUGGGCUCCCUAAGCCCGUUUUUGGGGUGGAUUUUUGGGGAUUUUGGGGUCUCACCACGUCACUCUCGGUGGUGUAGACCCGCUCAGCCAGGCUCACAGUGGGGAUUUUAUGGGGUUUUUAUGGGGAUUUUUUGGGGAUU